ensembl:snRNA U6 U6 spliceosomal RNA
GUGCUCGUUUCAGCAGCACACAUAAUAAAAUUCAAACAGUACAGAGAAGAUGAGCAUGGCCCUUGCACAAGGAUAACACACCAAUUUGGGAAGCAGUCCACAGUUUU